rnacentral:lncRNA from 1 species
CUACCCAGGGGCAAGGACAUCUCAGAUCACUUCCGGGUUCUUUCUGAGAGCACACAGGAGCCCCCUGUGCCCCAGCAGACCCCCCAGACUCCCCUGCGCAGGGCUAGGGAUAUGCCCGCACCCCCCUGUGAUUUUGUUCUCGUGUACCUCUGCCUGGAUGUCUUUCUCCAUUUCCUUUGUUUCACUGGUUUAUGAAAUGGUUUAUUAAACAGUUUCUACUCCCUGGAGCAUAAAUACAUUUUUUUCCUAACCAUAACUCUUUAUCAAAUCUCUGGAAUCGCUCUUAACAGAUACCCCAACUUGCUGCUCAUUUUCCUGGAUCUGGGUUCUCUGGUGCUGGGGAAGGGGUUAGCAGAGAGUGCUGGAGUCGUCGUGCUUAACCCCAUGGGGAGGGCACCUCCAGCUGGUGGUGCUGCCCGUGUGCAGGUACCCCUGGGGAUCUUAGGUAGGUGUUGGCUUCUCUGGUCCCCUCAGUGCCAAGAACCAUGUCAGGAAGAAGGAGCCAUGGCUAUCUUAGGCCCCUGCCAGUGACCCAGCCCCAAGCACCCCGUCUAGGAGGACUGAAUCUGUGUAACAGCAGCCCCACAGCACCUGUGCCUCCACUGAACCUGGCUCUUCCACGUUCAUGAUACCUGGGUUUUCUCGGUACCCUCUGAGAGCUGGAGAAUUCUCUGAGGGAAUUAGGAUGGAGAGGAGACUUUCUCAUUUUCUCUCCAGGCUCACGACGUCAUGCUUCCUUCUGGCCUUCACCCAAGCUGUGUCAACAAGCCUUUCUGUCCUCACUUCCGUCUCCCCAAGUUCAGGCAUCUCCAGGAAAGAAGCAAGAAGAGAGCACCAGCCAAGCUGUCCCAAGAACGCCCUCCAUCCUCACCUCCAUUCAAAGCAUCGUGGUGUCUCCUUUGGCCUGGGAUGGAGGUCCCCCUUUCUCUUCCUAUGGAUGCUCAGCUUCCAUCAACAAUCCCCAGGCAGCCUCCUCGCCGGGCCUCGGGGAGGGAAAGGGAAUGUCACAACAGCUUCCACUAACCCAGUGCUUCCUCCUCUCUCUUUUUUAUAGCCUGGGAAGCUGGACACCAGGCAUGGUGAGUGGGUGUGACCAGACCGGAUCUGCCCCUUCACAAGCCCUGAAGAAGCCCAGUUGGUGGUGUCCCUCUUCCGUGUGGUUUUCUCAUCAUUUCUUGACACCUAGCUAUGGAUCCCAUUGCCAAGUCAGCCUCCUACCACGCCCACCUGAUGCAAGAGCUUGAAGGUCAGGAAGCCCUCCCUCCUCCGUGGAGUGGCCUUGGCACCCCACCCCCAGCCCCCAAGAAGCCAGUCUCUCCUCAGGGCGUCACACUGCCUUGGAUUCAUUUGGGGCCCAUUGUGGGGUCCUUAGCUGUGUGCAACCAUUUUCCUUGGCCUGACUGUGAGGGCAGGGUCUGGGCUUUGCAUCUCUGCACCCCCAGGACCUACCCCUGGGUCAGGCAGCUCACAGGCCCACACUCUGCGCAUCUUGAAGGAAGGGAUGAAAUGAAUGAACUGAUCAGGAAAUAACAAAUGAUCGUUAUUGAGUAAAGGACAAUCAUGAGUGAGCGAGCGGCUGAAGGAAUGAAUGAACAAACCCGGUGUUUUGCUUCCCUCCUCUUGCUCUCAAGCCUCCCGGGGGGCUCCCAGGAAGCCCAUUUGCAGAAGGCCCUUAGCUCAUCAGAUUCCGGGAGAGCAGGCAGCCCAGCCCCCGGUAAUGGAACUGUUAGCUCAGGAGGCAACAGCCUCACCGUGUAAAAUCACUGUCUAUUCUAGUCAAAUUAACUAGGUAAUACCCUGCAUUAGUGUAAAAUUCUCCAUCAAACCAUGAAGACUGGCAUUUAAAACAUUCAAGGCCCCGAGAAGGGGAGGAGAGGGCAGAGAAAGCAAGAGAGAAGCAGUGCUUUCUCCUGGCGAGUAACGAUUCAAAAGCGUCCCCGCCUCUCCAAGCAGGGAGGCGCCCACCUGGGACUGCUCACGGCCGUGCCUGAUGCUCCCAGCUGGGCCUCUUCUCCCAGAGCCUCCGACCUCUCACCAGGGCCUCUCCUUUCUUAGGGUCAUGACCUCCUACAUUGGGUCCUUUCUAUGAACGUUUCAUUGGACGGUGCUGAGAUUGUCAGAAGGAAGGACAAGACAGAUGGUCCCCAGGACAGGCAGGCCAUGUCAGGCCUGAUGCCCCCUCUUAUACGAGGAAGCCACCCCUGCACCAAUGUUGGAGCACCCCUCAUUCUUAGAACCCAAAGAUCCAACCACCAUACUUUCCAGGGUGCCUAGGGUCCCCCUAGCGGACUCAAAUUGAACUGAACAAAGAGCACUCUGGAGUCUGGCUGGAUAACAUGGGAGAGCAUCUUCUAAUAACAACAGCAUUUAUUGGGCACCUCCUACAGCCAGAUGUUAGGUAGUGGAGGGAGAGCUUUUGUGGGGGUCACAGGCUUAGGUGACAGGCUGCCUGUGAGCCUAGAAGAUGGGAUUACCUUUCUGACACCCUCAGUAGCACCAGGUGGGUGCUUGGCAAAUGCUACAACAGAUACUUGCGUUCAGGAAUGAAAAGUGAAGUAACAGAGCCAGUGAUACAAGGCACGUCUACAUACACCCAUCAAACUGGCAGCCACUCAUCCCGACCCCUUGGGGCUUGGUCCUGAAGCCCCCUGCAGGAAGGGGAGGAAAAGAGGCAGCUUCCCAAGGGAUUGUUCCACGCUGAGGUAGCAUACUGGCUGCUGUGCCCUGGGGAACCAGCUCCCUGCAUAAAUGCACAGAUAGACAGAUAGAUCUUAUUAAGCAUACAACAUUCAGGGCCCUCAUUUGGAAAAGACAUUGAUUUUAAACGGCUGUUUGCCAUUGACAAGCCCCCGCACCAAGGCAAACAGCUCUGGGUUAUCCAGCUUGUGGCCCCGCACCUCCAUCCCCUGCGUGGGCACAUGCAUGCACCCCAGGGCUCCUCUGCUCUAGCCCUGGGCCUGAGCUGAUGUUGCAUUCCGGGCAGCGGACUCGCCCGGCAGAGACCAGAUGCCAGAGCAUCCCUCCCCGUCCCCUGGGGAUCUCAGGCCCAGCUGUAGCAGCCAGGCAGCCUUGGGACCCUGCAGUCCCCACCAGCCCCCACCCCCAGAGCCCAUCAACACGACUCUGCAUCUCCAUGUCCCCCUUCCCACCCCAUCCUCCCUCUUUGCCGCUUAUGCCUGUGUAGGCAGGAGGCAAAGCCAUGCGAAUACAUUAACAUUUCCUUAAUUCUAUCUGCGCCUCCAAAACUCUGAGUCACAACUGGGUGGGUUUUCAUGCCUGGUGAACUGUCAGCCUCAUUCAGAAAUGCCAUUUUCUACUUCACUCCUGGAUCAGCAAGGGGACAAGGGGCGGGGCCUGUGAGGUGGAAGGUGGCACACCGAACCUUGACUGGUCCUUGACUGAUGACAAGACCAGGGCUCAGGCAGUUCCUAAGAGGAGAAGCAUGGAGGGUUCUACAAAGAACCCUAAGAGCAAUGCCCUACUUUCGUAUUGCAAUUUCUACAUUGUGCAAAGUACAUUCACCUACUUUAUUUUGGCAUUUGCACAUCCAUUCUGCGUAUGUGAAAACUGAGGCACAAAGGUUUGAAAGUGGAUAUUAGCCUGCCCUGGAUAUCAAACAGUUAAUAAUGAUAAAGUCAAGACUUAAUACUAUUAUCUUCUGAUUCCAAGUCCACGCUGUGCCACCUGGCCUUGAAGCAGCUGGAAAAAUUCCAGCAAAGUCACUGUUUCCCCCGAGAUGGAGAGCUAAUUUUGACCUCGUGGCAGCGGUCACACACGGGAGACCUCGGACAUGCUUUUCCAGCCAGAAGAGUUUGUGAAAGAAGUGGAUCUGAAGGUCUCGGGCAGGCACAGGGACCCCAGUUGUCCACAUCAUCUCCACCCUCCUGUGUUACCCUGACCAGUUCACACAUGUGUGUUCCUUGCCUGGCUCUAGAAUUUGCCCCUCGCAUAAGGGCUCUGCCACCUAAGGACAGUUCUGCAUUUACACAGAGAAGGGGGCACCCACGGUGUGGGAUCUCUAGGAUGUUAGCCAGCCCCCUCUCCCCAGAAAUAGCUCGCUCACUUUUAACACGUAUUAAUCUCGUGUACAAGGCAGGCUAUUAGGCACCAGGUGGAUACAAAGAUGAAUAAGAAUGGCCCUUUCCCUCCAGCCACGUAGUCAGUCACAGGAAACAGACACGAUAAUUACUUUGUAAGCCAAUAGUGUGGGUACAAAGAUGCCAGAGAACCGUGGCGGCCUCGGGGCGUGGGAGGAGAGGGGAAAGGACCUUAAAGUGGGUGAGCAGUGCUGAGAGGGAAGGGAGAGGAAACCAAAACAAAACGUGACUUUCUCCCCCGCAUCUGAUCGCAGCCACCCAGGACUCCCCACUGGCCCAGCACCCUGCUCCAGUCACUCCCCACCUGGAGAAGCCUGGGCUUUUGAGAUAUGACUGGGUCACUUUGCGGCACAGCAGAAAUUGGCACGGCACUGUAAAUCAACUCUAGAUUUUUUUUUUUUUUUUUUGGCUGCACUUGCAGCAUAUGGAAGUUCCCCAGGCCGGGGAUCGAGAACCGAGCUGCAGUGUGACCUGACCUCCACCACAGGUGCUACAUUGCUGGAUCCUUAACCCACUGUGCCAGGCCAGGGAUCGAACCCGC